rnacentral:snoRNA from 1 species
AGCACUGUAUGAAACAGAUGGAUGAGAAUUUUCCCCAUUCUUGGUUUAUGCAGUAGUGCGAAAGAAUUUCUAUAUUUUUGCUUCACAGCUGACUUGUGAAUUUUGUGGUUGCUUUAUGGAGUUAAGGAACAUGA